rnacentral:rRNA from 1 species
UAAAUCUCUAUCAGCAGGGAAGAAAUAGGACGGUACCUGACUAAGAAGCUCCGGCUAAAUACGUGCCAGCAGCCGCGGUAAUACGUAUGGUGCAAGCGUUAUCCGGAUUUACUGGGUGUAAAGGGAGCGUAGGCGGUUGUGUAAGUCUGAUGUGAAAGCCCGGGGCUCAACCCCGGGACUGCAUUGGAAACUAUGUAACUAGAGUGUCGGAGAGGUAAGCGGAAUUCCUAGUGUAGCGGUGAAAUGCGUAGAUAUUAGGAGGAACACCAGUGGCGAAGGCGGCUUACUGGACGAUCACUGACGUUGAGGCUCGAAAGCGUGGGGAGCAAACAGGAUUAGAUACCCUGGUAGUCCACGCCGUAAACGAUGACUAAAGGGUGUCGGGGAGCUAAGCUGUUCGGGGCCCGUAGCACACGCAAUAAAUAGUCCCCCCGGGGAGUACGUUCGCAAGAAUGAAACUCAAAGGAAGUGACGAGGACCCGCACAAGCGGCGGAGCAUGUCGUUUUAUUCGAAGCAACGCGAAGAACCUUACAUUGUCUUGACAUCCCUCUGACGGCUCUUUAAUCGGAGUCAUCGUUUGAGACAGAGGAGACAGUCGGUCCAUGGUUCUCGUCAGCUGGGUUCGUGAGAUGUUUGGGUAAGUCCCGCAACGAGCGCCACCCCUAUCUUCAGUAGCCUGCAAUUAAGGUGGGCCCUCUGGAGAGACUGCCAGGGAUUACGUGGAGGAAGCUGGGGACGACGUCAAAUCCUCAUGCCCUCUAAGUCCAGGGGUUCACACGUGUUACAAUGGAGUAAACAAAGGGAAGAGAACCUGUGAGGGGAAGCAAAUCUCAAAAAUAACGUCUCAGUUCGGAUUGUAGUCUGCAACUUGAAAACACGAAGUCGGAAUAGCUUGUAAUCGCGAAUCAGCAUGUGGCGGUGAACCCGUUCUCGUCUUGAGCCAUCACCGCCCUUC